CCGCGAUUCGCCCUUCGGGGUGCAGCAGGCGCGAAAACUUUACAAUGCCGGCAACGGCGAUAAGGGAGCCUCGAGUGCCAGGUUACAAAUCUGGCUGUCGUGAUGCCUAAAAAGCAUUGCAUAGCAAGGGCCGGGCAAGACCGGUGCCAGCCGCCGCGGUAACACCGGCGGCUCGAGUGGUAACCGUUAUUAUUGGGUCUAAAGGGUCUGUAGCCGGCCGGGUAAGUCUCUUGGGAAAUCUGGCAGCUUAACUGUCAGGCUUUCAGGAGAUACUGCCUGGCUCGAGGCCGGGAGAGGUGAGAGGUACUUCAGGGGUAGGGGUGAAAUCUUGUAAUCCUUGAAGGACCACCAGUGGCGAAGGCGUCUCACCAGAACGGACCUGACGGCAAGGGACGAAAGCUAGGGGCACGAACCGGAUUAGAUACCCGGGUAGUCCUAGCCGUAAACGAUACUCGCUAGGUGUCGGCCACGGUGCGACCGUGGUCGGUGCCGUAGGGAAGCCGUGAAGCGAGCCACCUGGGAAGUACGGCCGCAAGGCUGAAACUUAAAGGAAUUGGCGGGGGAGCAC
rnacentral:rRNA from 1 species